GUUUGGACUUGGACUCUAAGCAGCUGUGAAUUUGUAAAUACCUAUAAUAAUCUAAUGCAGUAAAAGUGGGUUUUUUUGUGGAAGAUCUUUAAUGGAGUGAUUUGCAAAUAAUUGAAAGUAUCUUGUGAGGUCAUUAUCUUCAGAGUGAACAAAAUCACACAAAGUCAUACCUGGGUUAAAAAGUAUUUUUUGCAGUAUUGGGCUGAGGGAGGAUUGUUAAUUGAUUUAAUGGAAUUUUCUAA